AUGAGACAAAAGAUCCUCUUUCUAAAGAGAUUCAGUUUGGAACUUUUAUAUGUCCAAGGUCAAUAUAGAAAUUCUUUUAGAGGGUUUUUCUUACUUUGA
rnacentral:rRNA from 1 species